UGGGGGAUAUUGCACAAUGGUCGAAAGCCUGAUGCAGCGACGCCGCGUGGGGGAUGAAGGUCUUCGGGUUGUAAACUUCUUUUGCUCUGAACAAGGCAUGCCUUUGGGGUGUGUUGAGUGUAGGGGUUGAUUAGCGCCGGCUAACUACGUGCCAGCAGCCGCGGUAAUACGUAGGGCGCGAGCGUUGUCCGGAAUUAUUGGGCGUAAAGGGCUUGUAGGUGGCUGGUUGCGUCUGUCGUGAAAGCUCAUGGCUUAACUGUGGGUUUGCGGUGGGUACGGGCUGGCUUGAGUGCAGUAGGGGAGGCUGGAAUUCCUAGUGUAGCGGUGGAAUGCGCAGAUAUCAGGAGGAAUACCGGUGGCGAAGGCGGGUCUCUGGGCUGUUACUGACGCUGAGGAGCGAAAGCGUGGGGAGCGAACAGG
rnacentral:rRNA from 1 species